rnacentral:misc_RNA from 1 species
AAUAGUAUAUUUAUCUUGUUUUUUCUCUCUCUUCUCUACGACAUGUGUUUGUGUGAAUCGCUGCCUAAAAAGAAGAACAUUCUCUCUCUCUCUCUGUGUGUGUGCUCUGCACAUGCACACCCACACGUGUGCAAAUGUGAAAUAUAGGGAAGAGGAGAUGGGCAGCAGUUGAUAAUAAAAAAAAAAAAGGGAAAACCCCAAAAGUGAAAUGAGUGUUAUUCAGUUUCUAUUCCGUACAAGAGGAUAGUGACUCUUAAUCUAAUGAGGUCCAUAUAUAUUGGUCAAGUCUUGUAGCUUCUCAAAGAGAUUAAACAUUAUCUUAAGAAACACUCUAUCAAGUAAGAAAACUUCCACUUCCAUUGAAACUUCCACUUCAAGUGAAAUAUUAGUCGAUUUUGCGGUGAAUCAAGAAAUUGCAAAUAUGGUAACCAAGUCAUUUCCAUCCACUUGUCUCCAUAUUUCUCUUUUCUGAUAUUCCUUAAUCCUCAAGAACAACAGCUGAUAUGGGAACUUCUAAUUUAUCCCUCUUUUCUGUUGGCUGCAGUCAAAAGGGAAUUUUUGGUAGUUGUGAUUCUUAAAUUCACUUUGAAGGAUUUCUUGGAAGUCACAAUACAAAUGCUUUGAAAUGGAAUAUGCAAUGCCCUUUUUAAGCAUUCAAUCCAUUAUUUUUUCAAUAAUUUUUCUUAUCUCCCUCUUUAUCUUGAAGAAGAGUCUAAUAUUAUAAUAAUA